rnacentral:rRNA from 1 species
UACGUAGGCAGCGAGCGUUGUUCGGAGUUACUGGGCGUAAAGGGUGUGUAGGCGGUUAUUUAAGUUUGGUGUGAAAUCUCGGAGCUUAACUCCGAAACUGCAUUCGAUACUGCCGUGCUUGAGGACUGGAGAGGAGACUGGAAUUUACGGUGUAGCGGUGAAAUGCGUAGAUAUCGUAAGGAAGACCAGUGGCGAAGGCGGGUCUCUGGACAGUUCCUGACGCUGAGGCACGAAGGUCAGGGGAGCAAACGGG